rnacentral:rRNA from 1 species
CAUGCAAGUCGAGGGGCAGCAUGGUCUUAGCUUGCUAAGGCUGAUGGCGACCGGCGCACGGGUGAGUAACACGUAUCCAACCUGCCGUCUACUCUUGGCCAGCCUUCUGAAAGGAAGAUUAAUCCAGGAUGGCAUCAUGAGUUCACAUGUCCGCAUGAUUAAAGGUGUUUUCCGGUAGACGAUGGGGAUGCGUUCCAUUAGAUAGUAGGCGGGGUAACGGCCCACCUAGUCAACGAUGGAUAGGGGUUCUGAGAGGAAGGUCCCCCACAUUGGAACUGAGACACGGUCCAAACUCCUACGGGAGGCAGCAGUGAGGAAUAUUGGUCAAUGGGCGAUGGCCUGAACCAGCCAAGUAGCGUGAAGGAUGACUGCCCUAUGGGUUGUAAACUUCUUUUAUAAAGGAAUAAAGUCGGGUAUGCAUACCCGUUUGCAUGUACUUUAUGAAUAAGGAUCGGCUAACUCCGUGCCAGCAGCCGCGGUAAUACGGAGGAUCCGAGCGUUAUCCGGAUUUAUUGGGUUUAAAGGGAGCGUAGAUGGAUGUUUAAGUCAGUUGUGAAAGUUUGCGGCUCAACCGUAAAAUUGCAGUUGAUACUGGAUGUCUUGAGUGCAGUUGAGGCAGGCGGAAUUCGUGGUGUA